GAUGAACGCUAGCGGCAGGCCUAAUACAUGCAAGUCGAACGGUGUCUUCGGACAUAGUGGCGCACGGGUGCGUAACACGUAUGCAACCUACCUUACAUUGGGGGAUAGCCUUCCGAAAGGGAGAUUAAUACCGCAUAAGACAGUAGCUGGGCAUCCAGCAGCUGUUAAAAGAUUUAUCGAUGUAAGCUGGGCAUGCGUCCAAUUAGCUAGUUGGUGAGGUAACGGCUCACCAAGGCUUUGAUUGGUAGGGGAACUGAGAGGUCAAUCCCCCACACUGGCACUGAGAUACGGGCCAGACUCCUACGGGGGGGCAGCAGUAGGGAAUAUUGGGCAAUGGACGCAAGUCUGACCCAGCCAUGCCGCGUGCAGGAUGAAGGCGUUAUGCGUUGUAAACUGCUUUUAUACAGGAAGAAACGACUCUUGCGAGAGGCAUUGACGGUACUGUAUGAAUAAGCACCGGCUAACUCCGUGCCAGCAGCC
rnacentral:rRNA from 1 species